GAUUCAGCGGCGGACGGGUGAGUAAUGCCUAGGAAUCUGCCUGGUAGUGGGGGACAACGUUUCGAAAGGAACGCUAAUACCGCAUACGUCCUACGGGGGAAAGCAGGGGACCUUCGGGCCUUGCGCUAUCAGAUGAGCCUAGGUCGGAUUAGCUAGUUGGUGGGGUAAAGGCCUACCAAGGCGACGAUCCGUAACUGGUCUGAGAGGAUGAUCAGUCACACUGGAACUGAGACACGGUCCAGACUCCUACGGGAGGCAGCAGUGGGGAAUAUUGGACAAUGGGCGAAAGCCUGAUCCAGCCAUGCCGCGUGUGUGAAGAAGGUCUUCGGAUUGUAAAGCACUUUAAGUUGGGAGGAAGGGCAGUAAGUUAAUACCUUGCUGUUUUGACGUUACCAACAGAAUAAGCACCGGCUAACUUCGUGCCAGCAGCCGCGGUAAUACGAAGGGUGCAAGCGUUAAUCGGAAUUACUGGGCGUAAAGCGCGCGUAGGUGGUUUGGUAAGAUGGAUGUGAAAUCCCCGGGCUCAACCUGGGAACUGCAUCCAUAACUGCCUGACUAGAGUACGGUAGAGGGUGGUGGAAUUUCCUGUGUAGCGGUGAAAUGCGUAGAUAUAGGAAGGAACACCAGUGGCGAA
rnacentral:rRNA from 1 species